rnacentral:rRNA from 1 species
GAUGAACGCUGGCGGCGUGCCUAAUACAUGCAAGUCGAGCGAACAGACGAGGAGCUUGCUCCUCUGACGUUAGCGGCGGACGGGUGAGUAACACGUGGAUAACCUACCUAUAAGACUGGGAUAACUUCGGGAAACCGGAGCUAAUACCGGAUAAUAUAUUGAACCGCAUGGUUCAAUAGUGAAAGACGGUUUUGCUGUCACUUAUAGAUGGAUCCGCGCGGCAUUAGCUAGUUGGUAAGGUAACGGCUUACCAAGGCAACGAUGCGUAGCCGACCUGAGAGGGUGAUCGGCCACACUGGAACCGAGACACGGUCCAGACUCCUACGGGAGGCAGCAGUAGAGAAUCUUCCGCAAUGGGCGAAAGCCUGACGGAGCAACGCCGCGUGAGUGAUGAAGGUCUUCGGAUCGUAAAACUCUGUUAUUAGGGAAGAACAAAUGUGUAAGUAACUAUGCACGUCUUGACGGUACCUAAUCAGAAAGCAACGGCUAACUACGUG